UUCUCUUUGCGCGAUAUUGCCAUUAGUCUGUGUGUGUUGAUAUUAUUUCCGUAUAAUGCCAUUUGCUCGUACAUAAUAAGUUUCAGACAUUUUUGUGCAUUUUUUGGGACUUUUUUAAAAUAUGGACUGAAAUUUAAAAAAAAUCAAAUGACGUCAUAUUAAAAUUUCUUUCGUGAUUUGUUAUAUGUUAAGAACAUUACUUCCUAAAGCGGCGUAAAAGACAUUAUAAUAGUUUAUUAGAUAUAGAAAAAUAACAAGUGAUGCGUUAAGUGUAUAUGCACUGACUUGAAAUAAAGUUUUAAUUAUAUUAUAUUAAAAAGAAAUUGAUUGCGAUAUCCACACGAAUGGCAAAAGGAUUUAUCUAAAUGAAAUUUAAAACUGUGCGCUACCCAACCGGCUGGAGGCGGUUCUUUGAUAAGUGACGUCAUACAGACAGGUACAGAGGCACGACAAUAUGGUGUCUAAAAUGUUGUUUAGUUUCAUUAUUUUGAUGAUCCGAGGUUGUAUCGGCAGUGCCACUGGUCCUAAAGUGAAUUGUGCGAUAGCUAAUGAAAUAAUGACAUGUGAACAUAGGUUUCCAACCAAAAUCAAAUCAGAUGUAACAAUUGUUGUCAUAAAAGAUUACCGAAAACAAAACAUAGUCAAUACGACUUUCACUGAUAUAAAUUGGAGCAAAAUAACCUCACUUGACAUUACUGUGAACGAUGAAACAUAUUUCGAACUACUUAAAAACAAUUUCAUUCAACUCAGAAAGAACCUGGCCUUUCUUGGAAUCCACGCCCCGAGGUUAACAAGCAUUAACAGGCACUCCUUUCGGGAGCUUCUCCACCUCCGAACUCUAGAUUUUUCCCACAGCGUCUAUAUCAACGAAGCUGAAUUGACAGCAUCAGUUCUUGAUAGCAAGCUGAGGCUUACUGCAUUGAAUCUCAGAUAUAUAUCUUCGGGUCGAUCGCUUCAAAUGGACCAGAACUUUCUGCAGAUGAUUUCAGAAACGAAAACGGAACGAUUGCAUUUAGGUGGAUCUAGUUUGAUACUAAAGGGGCCUUUAGAUGGGGGCCUUUAGAUGUUGCAGAUUUAAAAUUCGAAUUAAGUUACUUCAAUAUUUCUGACACAUCCGUAGCUGUCACAGAUUUAAAACAUUCAAGCGAAGUAAAAGCAAUGGCACAUUUUCUUGAAAAUUUAACAUAUUUUGAUAUGUCUUACAUUAAAUCUAGAUUCCUUGAAAUGAAUUUUGGAGUUUUGCAGAAUAAAAGUGAUGUUUACAACUGUAACGAUUCUUCUUAUUUCGAAAUGGUCAUCAAAGCACGAAAUGUAUUCUUAAAUGGAAUCUGGUCAAUAAAAUUAUACAGUAACAAUUCUCUCAUUGAUUUGUCUGCUUGUAUUAUAAAUAUGAAAUCCCUACAUUUAAAGGGAAAUAACAUUCUCUAUCUAAACGUUACAAUUAAAUGGCCAAAAGAAAAUGACUUUAAAGCAAUUGAUUUGUCACAAAACCAUAUGGAGUACCUGAAUCCUGACUUCUUUAUUGGACUGACUUCAUUAGAAUUCAUUGACCUUUCUGGAAACAAACUAAUUUUCAUGGAAAGUUUAAAAGAAUUUUCGGACUUUGUUUGCAAAUUUUCGGGAAUUACGACACUGCAACAUGUCAAAUAAUAAAUUAACUUUUAUUCCAAAACACAUGUUCGAAAACAAUGCAAAAAUUGUUGAACUUGAUCUUUCGAGUAAUGAUUUGACAUCAGUAACAUUUGACAUCGAGCAGUUUAAUGACAUACGACUGUUGUGGUUAAAGAAUAAUAUAUUUAAAUUUCUGAAUGAGAGAGAUUUCACGAAGCUCGACUUCUUGAUACAAAAACGAAAUUGUGUGAUUAAUAUUGACAUUACCGGAAACCCGCUGGAAUGCUCGUGCAAGUCAACAAAAUUUUGAAAUGGAUGUCUUCAAAGCUGCAGCCAUGUACAAAUCACGUUUACCAGUGUCAACUCGAAGGCCAAACACAUUCGAUAGAUGGAACUGUUAUUGAAGAAGCUAACUAUUUGUGUGUAAGGACUGCGAUAAUAAUAACUUGGACAUGUGGUAUCGUUGCUGUCAUCGUGGCUAAUUUGUCUCCAGCAGUUUUCCUAUAUUUCAGGAAUAAGAGGAAUAAGCGAAAACAAACAAAGGAAACUUUCUUAAAUGGCCUUGGUGAAGGUAUAUUGUACACAAAAAUAUCUGUGCUUUCUUUCGUUCUCGAGCAAUGAGGAUAAUAAUUUGAAUAACGGAAGUCGGUAGUUCUAUAGAUGAGAGUCUAAAGGGAUUGACAGGAAUAGAAGAGCGCAGUCUUGUGUGUAUGGGAGAUUUUGAUUUUCGACCCGGAUUCUCUGUCGUGAAUGAAAUAUUCCGCACGGUGAAUCAAAGUUAUGUUAUGGUGUGUUUAGUGUCAAAGGAAUUUUGUGCCAGCAGGUGGUGUGACCUGGAAUUGAAAAUUGCUUACGAAAAUAAUAAACCCAUCAUUUUAAUUUUGAAAGAGGAAUUGCAAAGAAGCGAAAUGACAACGUUGUUACAUAAUAUUUUCAAUACGAAAACCAGAGUAAAACUUAUUAUUGAAGAAGGGGAAUAUCGUUUCAUACCAGGAUACGAUAAACUGGGUGAAUCUAUAUUUGAACUUGCUCUUAACAGUUUCGUGCACCAUGACAGAGAAACGUCAACCAUUCUCUAUGACAGGGAAAUGUCAGAAACAUACCUCUAGACGAGUAAACGUCAAAUACACUCAUUGAAAGGGAAACGCCAAAAUAUCUACUUGACGUGGAAACGUUAAUCACUCUGCUCGACAUUGAAACGUCAAUCAUUCUCUGUGACAGGGAAACGUCAAAAACACACUUCUUGAAGGGGAAACGUGAAACUAUCUCUUCGACCAUUCUGUAUAACAGGGAAACUUCAACCACACCUCUGGACGAGGAAUCGUCAAAUACUCUCCUUGAAAGGGAAACGCCAAAAUCCCUGCCUGACGGGUGAACGUUAAUCACUUUCCACGACAGGGAAACGUCAAAUACAAUCCUAGACGAGGAAACGACAAACACACUUCUAGACGGGAAAACGUCAAUUAAACUCCUAGAUGUUGAGACGUCAAAUGAUCUACUCGACAGUGAAACGUCAAAUAUUUCACGUAACGUCAAACACUCUCCUUGACAGAAAAACGUCAACCACACUGUUCGCUGGAGAAACGACAGAACACACAGCUUGACGGAAAUCAUCACACGCUCUGUAAUAGCUCUGAGAUUAACCUACAUUUACCUGAAUCACGAUGAGCAACAUUGAUAAUAUUUCGAGCGUAUAUCUUUUGCCAAAUCUGCUGUGUAAUGUUAAUAUAGAGAAUUUAUAAUUUUUGAAUAGAUACAAUGAAAUCUAAACGAAAAUCCUUUGAAACCACGGAAUGUAACCAACAAAAUAAUACUAGUAGCAGACUCGAUAUGAAUGAGGUCACUAGAAAAAUCGUGGGAAUUUAGUUGAAAUGUUUCUCUUCUUAAGGUCUAAAUCAAAUUCAGUAUCUUGGACUGAAAACUAGGUUACAAUGUCAAAUCAUAGAAAAACUUUGUUAACCAUCUAGUGACAUAGUCGCUUACUUUUGACCGAGUUCAAACUCGUCUACACUGUAUUAAGACGAAGUCAUACGAUUGGUCCAGACAUGUAUUUUAGUGAGUGUACAAAAACAAAUUGCUUUCGUCGGACGAAAACGAUGGAAUAUUACACGGGGCGAUCAAUCUGGUUCAUAUUGACCACUUUGCCUCAGAUGCAUAACUUCUAAUGUAGACGAAAAUUUUAGUAAAGUGUAAUGAUAAAAUACUUAUGGCAAUAUGUGUAACACAAAUUUUCUCUGACGCAAAGUGGUGGCAUAGUAAGCCAAACCUUAUCUCCAUAUUAUUUAUAUGGACAUUCAUAAUAUAAUCAAAUGCUGAGAAGACCAUAGUCGACUUUAUCUUAAUUCGCAAAUGUCUAAUAAUUUAAUUGAGUUGUAAAUCGUCUAAUGGCAACAUUUCACUCUUGUAUUCAUAAUUUUAACCAAAUAUAGUAAUAAUCAUGUCGUGGUGUGGCAACCAUUGAAAAUUUAAGUAAAACGAUCCACUUGUACAAGCGCAAUAAUUCGAUACUAUAUUUCUGCUCUUUAUUUGAGGAAGUCAAAGGUAUAAAAACAACGAUUGGAGUCUAUUAAUAGAAAUUAGUAUAUUUGAUGACUCAGGUACGCUCGAUGUAGUUUAAAAUCUUCUGUUUUGGUUUUGCUUAGUAAUAUUCUACAGACAUGUACCCGGCACAGAUUUCCCCAGGGAAUUAACUUACAACUUAUCACAAAUAGGAAAAAUGUACCAUUAAAUGACAUUCAACAUGAAUCUAGUGUUACGCACUAGUUUUGUUUGGAAGUAGCUAUAUAUCAACUAUAUAAAGCUUACGUUCCUGUUUAUAGCCCCACCCCCCUCUAACAGAACAUAUACUUGUGACCACUAUCAAUAUACACGUGUUUGAGUUUUGACGCACUAUUAAAACAAUGUUUCGACAAAACAUAUAAACAAUUCAGGAAAAAUGAAUAAUACAAUGCGACAGGCGACUUCCUGUUUGCACCCAGACUGCCAGUCCAUCCGUGGGGUUCUGCAAUAACUGAACCAUUACAGGAUAUUUUUUCUGGAAACUGGGUACGUGGAUAGACGGCAAUAAUGACACUAUCCACGAACUUUUAAUUUGUUGCCAGUGUUAACACAAUUUUGGGUGCUGUGACAAAAACAUUCAAUGAUCAAAAUAUACGACAAACGAUAACUUAAAAAGUGCAAAGAUUUUUUUUUCAUUCAACUUGGUACAGAUGUAGGAAGAAAACACUAUGGUGCAAAUGUUCGACAUUUUAUAAAUUUCCGAUUUCCGGUUCGUUCUUCUGUCUGUUUGUAUGCCAUAUAUGAUGGAUUCUGUCAUAACUGAAGAAUCUUCAUCUGUAUGUCUGUUCGUCCGAUUGUCUGUCCAACUGUCUGUCCAUUCGUAUGUCACAAACGAUAGAUCUUGAACUUACGUUAAAUGUACAAGAUAUAUGUUUGAAACAUGAGUUAUAAAUAUUAGCUGAUUGUAAGAAUAUGCAGGGCCUUUAAUUUAGUUUCAAUAUGAAAAGAAGUAGUUCCUAUAGCAGUGAAUAUGACAAAUGCCCCUUUCGAGUCGGGGACAUUAAUUGCUGGGCAAUAGUAUUCUUAGAAAUGUCCUCCUUCCAUUUUUAAAUAGUCACAAAAAAGCAAAUACCUCUCAUAACACUAAAAAUGUGUCUGUACUGCUUUUGCACUAAAAUAUGACUGAGUGUCAAACACAGAUCUUGAAUAUGAUAUAGCUGAAACACGAUGAUUUGUUUUUCCGUUUUGUUGUAUUACAAUAUCAUUGUUUCACGUUUAUGAUAAAAUCAAUUUACCUCAUUAGUAUGUAUGUGUUAUUAUUUUUCAUUCCGUAUAGUGCCAUUUGCUCGUACAUAAUAAGUUUCAGACAUUUUGCUUUUCAUUUUAUGGGACAUUUUUUAAAGUAUGGACUGAAGUUUUAAACAAAAUCAAAUGACGUCAUAUUAUAAUUUCUUUUGUGAUUUGUUAUAUGUUAAGAACAUGUCUUGCUAAAAGCGGCGUAAAUACAUUAAAAUAGUUUAUUAGAUAUAGGUAAAAUAACAAGUGAUGUGUUAAGUGUAUAUACUUGAAAUAAAGCUUGGAUUAUAUUGUAUUGACUUGAAAAAACGGCUUUUGAUAUCUACACGAAAAUGUGAGAACAUUUGAUAUUACGGACACACUAAUUUCACGAAUUGUAAUGAAAAUCAAUGGCAAAUGGAUCCAUCAAAAUGAAAUUUAUAACUGUGAGCUACCCAACCGAUUGGAAGCAGCUUCUCAAUAAGUGACGUCAUAAAGACAGGUACAGAGUCACGGCAAUAUGUUGUCUAAAAUGUUGUUUUGCUCCAUUAUUUUGAUGAUCCGAGGUUGUAUCAGCAGUACUAAGGGUCCACAAGUGAAUUGUGCGAUAGCUAAUGAAAAAACGACAUGUGAACAUACGUUUCCAACCAAAAUCAAAUCAAAUGUAACAACUGUUGUCAUAAAAGAUUACAGGGAACAAAACAUAGUUCAUACGACUUUCACUGAUAUAAGCUGGAGUAGAGUAACCUCCCUUGACAUUACUGUGAACGAUGAAACAUAUUUCGAACUACUUAAAAACAAUUUCAUUCAACUCAAAAUGAAACUGACCUUU
rnacentral:lncRNA from 1 species